UGCCUAAUACAUGCAAGUCGAGCGGAGUUUUUAAAAGCUUGCUUUUAAAAACUCAGCGGCGGACGGGUGAGUAACACGUGGGCAACCUGCCCUGUAGACUGGGAUAACUUCGGGAAACCGAAGCUAAUACCGGAUAAUCAUAGAAGUUGCAUAGUUUCUAUGUAAAAGUUGGGUUUACCUAACACUACAGGAUGGGCCCGCGUCGCAUUAGCUAGUUGGUAAGGUAACGGCUUACCAAGGCGACGAUGCGUAGCCGACCUGAGAGGGUGAUCGGCCACACUGGGACUGAGACACGGCCCAGACUCCUACGGGAGGCAGCAGUGGGGGAUAUUGUGCAAUGGGCGAAAGCCUGACGCAGCAAUGCCGCGUGAAGGAUGAAGGCCUUCGGGUCGUAAACUUCUGUCUAGAGGGAUGAAGAAAGUGACAGUACCUCUGGAGGAAGCCCCGGCUAACUACGUGCCAGCAGCCGCGGUAAUACGUAGGGGGCAAGCGUUGUCCGGAAUCACUGGGCGUAAAGCGCGCGUAGGUGGUCUAGUAAGUCAGAUGUUAAAAUGCGGGGCUCAACCCCGUAAUGCAUUUGAAACUGCUGGACUUGAGGACAGGAGAGGAAAGCGGAAUUCCUAGUGUAGCGGUGAAAUGCGUAGAUAUUAGGAGGAACACCAGUGGCGAAGGCGACUUUCUGGACUGUACCUGACACUGUGGUGCGAAAGCGUGGGGAGCAAACAGGAUUAAAUACCUGGUUAGUCCCGCCGUAACGAUGGUACUAGGUGUAGGUGGUUUAAAGGCAUCUGUGC
rnacentral:rRNA from 1 species